rnacentral:rRNA from 1 species
CGAAGAUGGCGACCGGCGCACGGUGAGUAACACGUAUCCAACCUGCCGAUAACUCGGGGAUAGCCUUUCGAAAGAAAGAUUAAUACCCGAUGGCAUAAUUAGACCGCAUGGUCUUAUUAUUAAAGAAUUUCGGUUAUCGAUGGGGAUGCGUUCCAUUAGGCAGUUGGUGAGGUAACGGCUCACCAAACCUUCGAUGGAUAGGGGUUCUGAGAGGAAGGUCCCCCACAUUGGAACUGAGACACGGUCCAA